CAAAAUUUUGUUCACUUUUCCCUCUAACACUCCUUACUCCCAACUCCCUCGGAACACAAUUCCCCUUUCCCUCUAAUUUUUUCACUUUUCCCUCUAACACUCCCAACUCACGCCAACUGACAACACGCAACUGCGCGGCAAGAUACUAAAAAAAAACAAAAGAGAAAAGCGCCUAAAGAUCAAGACAAUUGAAAAAAAGAAUACCUAACUUUCUAAGUGAGACAAAGAAGAAGAAGAAGAGCAAGAGAACUGGCUUGAUUGCUCUGGCCAGUAACUCUCUCCCGACGAAGACUUCUCCGAUCUCGAUCUCGAUCUCCUCCAGUUCUUUCGCCUCCAAGGCUCAGACAAGCACGGCAACCGCAUUUUCCGUGUUGUGGGAAAGUACUUUCCCGCUGUCGUUGUGAGUGGAGAGAGGCUGGGCAGUGGCAGCAGAGCAAUAGCAGAAGCAGGAAUUGGAACCCCACAGGCUGUACUUUGCCAAACUUGGGCUUAGAUCCCCUCCAAAAGACUAUUAUGUGCAAGUUGACACAAGAAGUGACAUUCUAUGGGUGAAUUGUGUUGACUGCAAGAGCUGUCCAAAGAAAAGCGGUCUUGGUGGUAUUACCUUUUGUUGCAGUUGGGGAGUAGUUUUGGUUUGCAAUAUAGUUCUUAACCUGUGUGGUUAUAUUCUGUGUUUGCAAUUUGGGAGGGAUAGCAAUGAGCCAAGCAAUAAUAGCCUAGAAAGUGCUCUACUGAUCUGUUUUCCUCUUUUCUUACCCCACCCCACAAUCUGAAUUUGUAACUCCUACCCUUUUUUGAGUAUUUUACCAAAUGACUUUCUUCUAUUGCUCCCUUUAUAUGUGCUUGUUGCUGUCGCUGACACCAUUAUUAAUUUGAGAUAUCAAAAUGAUUGUUUAUCACUGAGAGAAUUUAUUAUUUGCCAUGACCUGGCUCCAACGUCUUACUGUAAAGUAUUCUUUGAGGAAUGUGACAAUCUCAGAUCAAUUAUUUGUGUUUU